rnacentral:rRNA from 1 species
CGGGACGGGUGAGUAAUGUCUGGGAAACUGCCUGAUGGAGGGGGAUAACUACUGGAAACGGUAGCUAAUACCGCAUAACGUCGCAAGACCAAAGAGGGGGACCUUCGGGCCUCUUGCCAUCGGAUGUGCCCAGAUGGGAUUAGCUAGUAGGUGGGGUAACGGCUCACCUAGGCGACGAUCCCUAGCUGGUCUGAGAGGAUGACCAGCCACACUGGAACUGAGACACGGUCUAG